CGCCAGGGCAAUGUGUGUGCGGAGUUUGCAUGUUCUCCCGUGCUGCGGGGGUUUCCUCCGGGUACACCGGUUUCCUCCCAAAGACAUGCAUGGUAGGCUCAUUGGCGUGUCUAAAGUAUCCGUAAUUCCAAAGACAUGCAUGGUAGGCUGAUUGGCAUGUCCAAAGUGUCCCUAGUGUGUGAAUGUGUAUGUGAUUGUGCCCUGCGAUGCACUGGCACCCUGUCCAGGGUGUGCCCCGCCUUGUGCCCGAUGCUCCCUGGGAUAGGCUCCAGGUUUCCCCGUGACCCUGAAAAAGGAUAAAGCAGUAUAGAAGAUGGAUGGAUGGAUAAUAGCAGAGUGAAUUAAACAUUAGGUAUGUUCGGCUACAUGCGGCACUGUGCAGACCGAUCGGCAACUAACUUGAAGCAAUACAUGCCGGUUAGAAUUUUUUUCUGACUUGAGACUGCGCCGAUGCCACAUCACUGUGACGUGUGGCAUCAAAGUACCGCGAUAGUGAUAGGAGAGCAGCCGGCUCCCUCAGCCAGCACAGCUUCUCCAGAGCGACUGCACGAGCUCUGAUGACAUAGCAGGCUGCGGCUGGAUGUAACCGAUCAGCGAGCGUUUUUUUUUUUUUUUUUUUUUUUUUUAAUGAAAUAACAGUAGGGGAAUACAAAGCCAUACAAUAUUAAUAAUUUAAAAAAUAUUAUUUAAACAUAAGACAAUAUAACAUUAAGAUUAAGUGAAAAAGUUUUUACUGUUAUACAAAUAAGGAUUUGUGAGCUUUACAGGAACUGAAGGUGUCAAUAAACAUGGAAAGCACAUUAUCGUUUUCGUGAGUCUGGACAAUCGUGAAAUAGCUGUGUCGUCAUCAGAGCUCGUGCAGCCGCUCUGAAGAAGCUGCGCUGGCUGAGGGUAUGGCACGCCGAAAGGACAAAAAUGUCUUUAGACCUUACGUCGCUUAUCUACAGUCACGUGAUGAUGACAUGACGGUACGACUCCAGUCACGUGAUGAUGGCACGCCGUUACAUCAAAGCAAGAGGAGUAAUCAUUCAAAAUACUAGUUGGAGUCAUGGCUUUAGCAAAUUUCAUGAAUAAUUGUAAACGUAUUUUUCACACAAAACCUCCCUUCAAAGUUUUGAUAAAGCUAUUUUCUGGUUAGAAUAAAAAUAAAAAAGCACUUUUUUUGCUUGUACCAUUACAGAAAAUUCUUAAAAAGUUAGGAACAGGUACUAUAUGCUAACGUUAGAUGUGUACUACAGCAUGGAACAAUGAAGUGAUGAUGUAUUCACUUUUUGUGUCUUGUUAUGAAUUGUGUAUGUAAAGUAGGCUCUUUAAAAUGUUCGCUAUUUGCCUGAUUUUUCUUACCAGUUGAUGUGUCCUUGCGUGUGUAUUGUUUUUAAUUGCAAAGCAGUAAAACUUGAUACUUUUAUAACAUCCUGCUUUGAGAAUUUAUAUGGUUUAAAACAAAGACACUCUAACACUGGAAAUUUAGACUUCGAAAAACACUUUGGGUUACAUCAACAUCUGUCCAAAACACUGCUGUUCAUCUGCAGGUCUGUCAUCAUUAAGGAAAAGAGGCACAUCCAUGCAUAACCGCGGGAAGGUUGCUGCACCCCCUGAAGUGCCCUAAGUCAGUGGUUUUCAAAGUGGGGGCCGCCAGGGGUGCCCAGGGGGCCUCAACAAUUUGGUUUGAAAAAUAAAUUAAUACAUGAUUUUUUCUUUGUCACUCUCAGACAACCACACGCAUACACAAUCAAUUCCUAUUGUCAUGUAAUGUAAAGAUGUAAGAUGUAAUUAUUAAUAAUAAAAAAAGGGGGAUAUAU